GACGAACGCUGGCGGCGUGCUUAACACAUGCAAGUCGAACGGAAAGGCCCUGCUUUUGUGGGGUGCUCGAGUGGCGAACGGGUGAGUAACACGUGAGUAACCUGCCCUUGACUUUGGGAUAACUUCAGGAAACUGGGGCUAAUACCGGAUAGGAGCUCCUGCUGCAUGGUGGGGGUUGGAAAGUUUCGGCGGUUGGGGAUGGACUCGCGGCUUAUCAGCUUGUUGGUGGGGUAGUGGCUUACCAAGGCUUUGACGGGUAGCCGGCCUGGGAGGGUGACCGGGCACAUUGGGACUGAGAGACGGCCCAGACUCCUACGGGAGGCAGCAGUGGGGAAUAUUGCACAAUGGGCGGAAGCCUGAUGCAGCAACGCCGCGUGCGGGAUGACGGCCUUCGGGUUGUAAACCGCUUUCGCCUGUGACGAAGCGUGAGUGACGGUAAUGGGUAAAGAAGCACCGGCUAACUACGUG
rnacentral:rRNA from 1 species